rnacentral:rRNA from 1 species
GAUGAACGCUAGCGGCAGGCCUAACACAUGCAAGUCGAGGGGCAUCGAGUGUGUAGUUUACUACAUAUGUCGGCGACCGGCGCACGGGUGAGUAACGCGUAUGCAACCUACCUAUAACAGGGGAAUAACCGAGAGAAAUUUCGACUAAUACCCCGUAAUACUUUAGAAGGCAUCUUUUAGAGUUGAAAGAUUUAUUGGUUAUAGAUGGGCAUGCGUGACAUUAGUUUGAUGGUGAGGUAACGGCUCACCAUGACUACGAUGUCUAGGGGAACUGAGAGGUUUAUCCCCCACACUGGUACUGAGACACGGACCAGACUCCUACGGGAGGCAGCAGUGAGGAAUAUUGGUCAAUGGACGAAAGUCUGAACCAGCCAUGCCGCGUGCAGGAUGACGGCUCUAUGAGUUGUAAACUGCUUUUGUAAGGGAAUAAAAAGUUAUACGAGUAUAACAUUGCAUGUACCUUGCGAAUAAGGAUCGGCUAACUCCGUGCCAGCAGCCGCGGUAAUAC